rnacentral:rRNA from 1 species
CCUACGGGAGGCAGCAGUGGGGAAUAUUGCACAAUGGGGGAAACCCUGAUGCAGCGACGCCGCGUGAGUGAAGAAGUAUUUCGGUAUGUAAAGCUCUAUCAGCAGGGAAGAAAAUGACGGUACCUGAUUAAGAAGCCCCGGCUAACUACGUGCCAGCAGCCGCGGUAAUACGUAGGGGGCAAGCGUUAUCCGGAUUUACUGGGUGUAAAGGGAGCGUAGACGGCAGCACAAGUCUGGAGUGAAAUGCCGGGGCUUAACCCCGGAACUGCUUUGGAAACUGUGCAGCUAGAGUGCGGGAGAGGUAAGUGGAAUUCCUGGUGUAGCGGUGAAAUGCGGAGAUAUUAGGAGGAACACCAGUGGCGAAGGCGGCUUACUGGACUGUAACUGACGUUGAGGCUCGAAAGCGUGGGGAGCAAACAGGAUUAGAUACCCGAGUAGUC